GUAAUCGUAUCUUAUUAUUUUAUAUAAUUUUGUUAACAGCCAUCGUGACUGCAAAUGUUUUUAGUAAUUUAUUAUCAUGAAAUUUAAUACUGAACUCUUGAUAUUCUUCUCUACGCGAUUCGCGCGGUUUAUGCGCAAGACGUAUGCGCAAUUUGAUGCGCGAGACGUAUCGCGCAUUCCUUUGUCAGCCAUGUUGGAAUUUUGCGUUCUUUUCGUCCAGUUCGGUUCGGUACAUUUAGAAUCAAAUAACGACAUUUGUUUGUGAUUCAUAAUUUCAGAGAAGUUCAUAACUUUCAAGAAGUGAGUAGUGAAAAGUGAUAAACGUCAAGACGCAAACUUGAGGUUCGUUUAUAGACUCCAAUGAGAGUUCCCGCGUAAAGAUAAUAACGUGAAUCACGUUAGCUGCGUAGUUAAAUAUGUCGUAUUUUCGGUCACAAAUUUCGAGAACGAAUGUGUAUAUUUUAUCUUUAUUUUGGAAAUGCUGACGACUUUAAACGGAUAUAGGUUAAAUACACUUAAUAUCAUUACACGCAUGAACUACUACUGGCACAGCAUGUUUGCAAAGGAGAAUCUUCAUCGUGUAAAUAUUUAUCGAAUCGCGAUGAUUUGACAUCUCAUCGAAUGCGGUAAGUUUGUAACUUCUAUGAGUGCAUGAAUAUUUAUUGAAAACAUUUAAUUAAUGACACGAUUGAGUAACUCGAUUGAUUUCAAUAUUUUCGUUUAACGAAUUUAACGAAAAUAGCUUAUUAUUCAUAUUUUCGUAUAUACAUAUUAUUAUACACGGUAUUAAUCCUAUAAUACGGGAUUUAGUAUCGAGAAAAAUGUUUGUAUUUUUAAAAUUUUUUUUUCAAUUUUAUUCAAUACUAUAAAAUGAAAACAUUACAGUAUUAUUACGUCAGUAUUAUUAAAAUUUAUAUUGACCGUGUUAUAUUGACCAUAAGAACAUUAUUAUAAUUUGUGAACUAUGUUUUAUUAAAAUAAUAUUAUGUAAAUACCGUAUUAUAUUAAGAUUACCUCUAUUAUAUGGUAUUAUAUGGUAUAUUAAAAUUUCAAUCCAUUAAGCUUUUUCGGAAGCUUCCAUUGUAAUAUUCCAUUGUAAUUUAUAAAAUUUAACAUAAAUCCAAUCGUCGAGAUAUCGUAAGAUUAUCGAUUCAAUUCAUUUCUUUGAUCGUUCAUAAUUUCGUCAUCGGAAGCAAAUCUCGAGAUCGACGAUCGUGUAUUCGUCGACAUAAAAGCAAGCUUCCUUUUUCCAGGCAAGUGGAAAACGAUCGUAGGAACGUAGUCGCACGUGCUAGAAAUGUCGACUUUCUCAGCUGUUCGUUGUGCCGGCAUAAAGAGAAACUAUUAGCCCGCCCGUGGCGUCGCGACGACCUGGAUUAAUUUAGAAAUUUAAUUAACAAAACCGUAAGCGCUCUUUCCUUCAGUCUCGCACCCCAUUCUUCCCUCUGUUGUCAUUUUGCUCUCACGAUUUUUACACAUUCAUUCGACGGAAUUAAAAAUAAGAUGUUCUCGUCCGUAAUUUUUAUCGUAAUUAAACAUAUCUUGUGUAUUUCAUUCGAACGCCACGAAAACGCGUCGUGAACGUCGUCCAAUACGAAAAAUCCUUUUCGAUACGAUAUAAAAUCAGCCUCGGCAUAAAUUUGAUCAAUCGAACACAGGUGAUCGCUAACUUAUUUUACGAUUGCCAUAAUAAAAGUGUCGACGUCUGGACACGGUCUCGAACAUCUCUCGUUUUUCUCGUUUUUUAUUUAUCUUACCGUUCGAAUCGAUGUUCCGAGCUGCGAAAAAAUCAUGUCUGCGCUACGAACACGGGCGGCACAAUAGAAACAGAAUAUUUAGAUUAAAACGCAAACUCGUUACGUAACUAUACAAACGAGCUCGUGCGGUAAAUCACGUCCACUCGGUUCUCUUUAUCCUGCUGCCAUCCUUCAUGCUUGCUCGCUGGAAAAUCGAACCGAAUAAAAAACUCGACGCCCUCCUUGAUUCUCCCGAUCUCUCAGUGGAAGCGUUGAUUUAUCGCGGCAAUCUUCGGAAAGCAAACACGGAGGAUCGCGAGCAAUGCUCGCAAAUGAGUAAAACGUUUCGCGGCCGCGAGAUCUGUAACGAAGAAUAAUUGAAAUGGCGUGAGAGCCUAGGGUAUGGACUGUAGCAGGUAUACGCGACUCGUCUCUCCUCGAUCCUCCUAUACACGCGACGCCGGCCAAUCUCUCGACGUAUAUAUCUGCCGGGGUUACGCUCUUCCUAACGAUUUUUCGAUAUCGGUAAGCGAUGCGUUUUUAUCCGUACCGCGAUGGAAACGUUCGAACGUUGCAGACAAUCUGCCGGAUAACGCUUAACUGUCCCCCCCACGUAGCUAGAAUAAUCGGCCGAUUUUUAUGUCCCAUUCGUCGUGGCGCCGCGUUUCAAGCGGGAAUUUAUGAAAACGUUUAUGAAGUCAUAGGGUUCAGAAGGUUGGGAGAAAGAGAGAGAAAAGAGCAUAAGAUAUUCACGACGAGAAUGCGAUGUUACGUUCUAAUCCUUCCAAAUGGGAGGAUCCCACGAUUGUCGGAGGUUGCUUUAUUUCGCGCACGAAUUGUUUCUCUACUUUUCGAUUGCCUUUGUGCUUUAUUUCUCUAUUACGAUUUUUUUUCCUCGAUAUAUAUAUUUUUUUAUUCGAACAAUUAAUUACGUACCUAAAUACCUUUUCUGAGAUAUUCCUCUCUAUUUGUUUUUACGGUUUACAUAUUAUAAUCUCUCUUCAUAAAAUUCAAGACAACCGAUUGAAAUUCACCUGUGAACCAAUUCACAGUGAAUCAAUCGCGGACUUCACGGCUCUCCUCGCUCAAGGGUGAACGGUCGGUUAUUCACAGCGAUUCACAGCCAAGCGCGUAACACGUUCGCGCGUUGAUCCCCCUUUGAUGCGCUUGAAUCGAUCAACGUUGCGUACGUGAACCGCGUGCAGGUAAAACGCGGCGUGUAACGUUGGACGAAAAUUCCAUAACGGAACGCGAAUAAUCGUGCGCAAAGGAACACGAAUAAUUUUAUAUCCGGCCAGUUUCGUGUCGGGCCAUGGAUAUCGACGGUAAAACCGUAAUAUACAGCCGGAUGAUAUUUUAUUUCAUCGAAAAUUACGUAAUUCUCAGCGUGUU